GACGAACGCUGGCGGCGUGCUUAACACAUGCAAGUCGAACGGAAAGGCCCUGCGUGUGUGGGUUGCUCGAGUGUCGAACGGGUGAGUAACACGUGAGUAACCUGCCCUUGACUUUGGGAUACCUUCACGAAACUGGGGCUAGUACCGGAUAGGAGCUCCUGCCGCAUGGUGGGGGUUGGAAAGUUUCGGCGGUUGGGGAUAGACUCGCGGCUUAGCAGAUUGUUGGUGGGGUGGUGGCGUUCCCAGGCUUUGACGGGUAGCAGGCCUGGGAGGGUGGCCGGACACGUUACGACUGAGCUGAGGCCCAGACCCCUACGGUACGCAGCGGAGCGGUAUGUUACACAAUAGGCGGAAGCCUGAUGCAACAACGCCGCGUGCGGGGUGACGGGAUGCGGGUUGUGUCCCGCAUUCGCCUGUGACGAGACGUGAGUGACGGUAAUGUGUAAAGAAGCACCGGCUAACUACGUG
rnacentral:rRNA from 1 species